rnacentral:rRNA from 1 species
AUUGAACGCUGGCGGCAUGCCUUACACAUGCAAGUCGAACGGCAGCACGGGAGCAAUCCUGGUGGCGAGUGGCGAACGGGUGAGUAAUAUAUCGGAACGUGCCCAGUCGUGGGGGAUAACGCAGCGAAAGCUGUGCUAAUACCGCAUACGAUCUAAGGAUGAAAGCGGAGGAUCGCGAGACCUCGCGCGAUUGGAGCGGCCGAUAUCAGAUUAGCUAGUUGGUGGGGUAAAGGCCCACCAAGGCGACGAUCUGUGGCUGGUCUGAGAGGACGACCAGCCACACUGGAACUGAGACACGGUCCAGACUCCUACGGGAGGCAGCAGUGGGGAAUUUUGGACAAUGGGCGCAAGCCUGAUCCAGCAAUGCCGCGUGCAGGAUGAAGGCCUUCGGGUUGUAAACUGCUUUUGUACGGAACGAAACGGCCCUUUCUAAUACAGGGGGCUAAUGACGGUACCGUAAGAAUAAGCACCGGCUAACUACGUGCCAGCCGCCGCAGUAA